rnacentral:rRNA from 1 species
AGAGUUUGAUCCUGGCUCAGGACGAACGCUGGCGGCGUGCUUAACACAUGCAAGUCGAACGGAAAGGCCCUGCUUUUGUGGGGUGCUCGAGUGGCGAACGGGUGAGUAACACGUGAGUAACCUGCCCUUGACUUUGGGAUAACUUCAGGAAACUGGGGCUAAUACCGGAUAGGAGCUCCUGCUGCAUGGUGGGGGUUGGAAAGUUUCGGCGGUUGGGGAUGGACUCGCGGCUUAUCAGCUUGUUGGUGGGGUAGUGGCUUACCAAGGCUUUGACGGGUAGCCGGCCUGAGAGGGUGACCGGCCACAUUGGGACUGAGAUACGGCCCAGACUCCUACGGGAGGCAGCAGUGGGGAAUAUUGCACAAUGGGCGGAAGCCUGAUGCAGCAACGCCGCGUGCGGGAUGACGGCCUUCGGGUUGUAAACCGCUUUCGCCUGUGACGAAGCGUGAGUGACGGUAAUGGGUAAAGAAGCACCGGCUAACUACGUGCCAGCAGCCGCGGUGAUACGUAGGGUGCGAGCGUUGUCCGGAUUUAUUGGGCGUAAAGGGCUCGUAGUGGUUGAUCGCGUCGGAAGUGUAAUCUUGGGGCUUACCCUGAGCGUGCUUUCGAUACGGGUGACUUGAGGACGUAGGGGGAGAAUGGAUUCCUGGUGGAGCGGUGGAUGCCGCAGAAUAUUCAGAGACACCAGUGGCG